CCCGGAGUCGCCUCUUCACUGUUGAAAUUGAGACUGGUGUUUUGCAGAUCUGCCAAUCUGCUCGGUGGAGUGUUCCAGGCCUGGAGUGGCAUGCUGGAACUUCCAGAGUCUUGUAGAGCUGAAGCAGUGUGAUGUGGUCCAGAGGGAUGAGGACUGAGGAGCCCUGUGAGCAGCCAGUCAAGCCCCCAGGUCUUGCCCCAGCCCAAGACCAGCGCCGGGCCCAGCCCCGGUCCACUCAGCUUUACCUUGCUCUGCGGAGGGGGAACAGCCAGAGAGAGAGAGAGAGAGAGAGAGAGAAAGAAAAAGAAAAUGUAUGUUGCAGCCUUGGAUGGUUUCCAAGUUACAUUAAAUUCUCACUGGGUGAAAAUGUGUUGAAAUUACACAAUUCUAUGCUCUUGUGAUUUGCCUAU